GCUGGGUGUGGUGGUGCAUACCUAUAGUCCUAGCUACUUGGGAAGCUGAGGCAGGAGGAUCAUUUGAGCCCAGGAGUUCCAGGUUACAGUGAGCCGUCAUCAUGCCACUGUACUCCAGCCUGGGUAAAAAAGCGAGCCCUUGCCUCCA
rfam:Homo sapiens chromosome 7, GRCh38 reference primary assembly.